GCUGAAAAUCUAGCUCUUCUUAUUCUUAUGAAUACCCCACCCCCUUAACCUAUAAAUAAAUCAUUUUUUACAUAAAGUAAAGGCGAUAGAAAAAUGCCUAGAAGCUAUAGAAAGUAGUACCGCAAGGGAAAGAUGAAAUAAUAAUGAAAAACUGCAAGCACCAAAAAGCAGAGCUGCAACCUCGUACCUUUUGCAUCAUGGUCUAACUAGUCCAACCAAGCAAAAUGCAUUUUUAGUUUGACCCCCCGAAACUAGGUGAGCUACUUAAAAACAGCCAUUAGGGCCAACCCGUCUCUGUUGCAAAAGAGUGGGAAGAUUUUUGAGUAGGGGUGACAGACCUAUCGAACCUAGAGAUAGCUGGUUAUUUAGGAAAAGGAUCUAAGUCCUACCUUAAAAUUUUUGUACUCCAUCAAGUAUUUCCGAAUUUUAAGAGCUAUUCAAAUAAGGUACAGCCUGUUUGAAAUAGGAUACAACCUCCAUCAAUGGGUAACAAAAUGUUUCCUCAACUAAGUGGGCCUAAGAGCAGCCACCUUUUAAAAAGCGUUAAAGCUUCAUUGUCUUAUUAAAAAAUUCCACUAACUACAUAAAACCCUUAACCCUGUACUAAAUAAUUUUAUAACUCUAUAAAAAUCCAUAUGUUGGAACUAGUAACAAGAAGAAACUCUUCUCCAAAAUGUAAGCAUAAGCCAGAAUGAACCCCUCACUGGCAAUUAAAGUCAAUAAACCUCUAGUAGUAACCCAUCAAGAAAACCCUUCUAUUAUGAACGUUAACCUUACACUAGCACAUUUCUGGAAAGAAAGAAAGAGGGGGAAGGAACUCGGCAAAUAAUUUAACCCCGCCUGUUUACCAAAAACAUCGCCUCUUGCCAACUAUAAGAGGUCCAGCCUGCCCAGUGACAAAGUUUAACGGCCGCGGUACCCUAACCGUGCAAAGGUAGCGCAAUCACUUGUUCUUUAAAUGAGGACUAGUAUGAACGGCAUCACGAGGGUUAUACUGUCUCCCCCCUUUUUUCAGUGAAACUGAUCUUCCCGUGAAGAAGCGGGAAUAUAAAUAUAAGACGAGAAGACCCCAUGGAGCUUUAAACUCAGAAUCAACUGCUACAAACUUAGCCUAAUAACUACGCAGGAAUGACUUCUAGUUUUAGGUUGGGGUGACCGCGGAGUAAAAUAAAACCUCCACGACGAAAGGAACUAACCGCCUAAACCAAGAGCCACAGCUCUAAGUAUUAAAACAUUAACCUAAUUGAUCCAAUUACUUGAUCAACGAACCAAGUUACCCUGGGGAUAACAGCGCAAUCCAUUUCAAGAGCUCAUAUCGACAAAUGGGUUUACGACCUCGAUGUUGGAUCAGGAUAUCCAAGUGGCGCAGCCGCU
rnacentral:rRNA from 1 species